CACCGCCGUUGCACAUGACCUGCAGGUUCACAGCUGUGAACCACAGCACCCACUGCUUUCUUCAUACAUUUGAACUAUCCCUGAAUGACAGGUACGAAUUCAUAGCAAAUCCUAACAUGACCGAUGCAACUCAGCCAGCAACUCUUACCAUGAAAAAGGGUCCAACAGUCUAACGUCAGAAAAAAUGGACACACAAAUGUUAAGCGCAUGUAAAUGUACCACAAUACAGCCACUAUUGUCUUCUUAUUAAAGCGCUCAAUCCUCGCCUCCGCUGGUGUCAUCUUCACGAACGACGGCAUAUAUCUGCAUAUGAAGGGAUCACAACAAAUCAUUGUUUAGGCAGGAACACAUAGUUGUGAGCAUGUUACGUACAAUGACGGCUGUAGGUGUGACACCGGCAUAACGUGCCUCGAAAUAAGGCAAUAAAAAUCAUUUAGUUAAUAGCCAUGGUCUUUGCACCCAGAGCUUCAUACCUCCGAAACGCCGCUACGUGNGCUGCCACGUCCCGUUUGAGCCCGACUCUNGNUCAUAUCCUUACCACCAUCCUUGCGCCUGUCCUAUUCCUUGCGAUUCUCCUGCUCGUGUCCUUGGAAUGUAAAAUGGCAAGGCAUAAUGUCAGUGUAUGCACCUGCAUGAUGGCCACUUACUGCCGGUGCCGUCUAGUCCCCCUUUUCCUGCUUUCCCCUGCUUGCCUGCGAAUGAAUGGUGCGCCAUUAUAGAGGAAGAAAGACAGAUUCUUGUUAUGAAGAUGCUAAUUCAUUAGGCUUUACCUUACACUGUCGUCAUUGGAGGAUCAGCGUGAGUAUAAGAAAUGCAUACGCGCUAAACAACAAAUUCAAGAUAAUCUUAUUAGUGCAAUGCGCG
rnacentral:lncRNA from 1 species